rnacentral:rRNA from 1 species
CAGCGCCACGAGUGGGGAUCACGAUUAUUGGGCCUAAAGCGUCCGUAGCCGGCUUGAUAAAUCUCUUGUGAAAUCGUUUGGCUCAACCAAACGGCGAGCAGGAGACACUAUUAAGCUUGAGACCGGGAAGGGUUAGAGGUAUGUUUGGGGGAGCGGUAAAAUGCUAUAAUCCCUUACAGACCAAUGGUGGCGAAGGCGUCUAACUAGAACGGAUCUGACGGUGAGGGACGAAAGCCAGGGGAGCAAUCCGGAUUAGAUACCCGAGUAGUCU